rnacentral:tRNA from 1 species
GGGGGAUUAGCUCAUUUGGCUAGAGUGCUUGCCUGGCAGGCAAGAGGUGACGAGUUCGAAUCUCGUAUUCUCCACCA